CAGCAUGUUCCAUUUCAGGGAGUGGGGAGAACACUUGGAAGCAGCUCUACAUCAGUGGCUCCUGACCCAACUACUGCCUUAACACCUCCAACCACGGCUCCAACUCCUUCUGCAGGCCUGGUUGUUGAUCAAUCACUGCCAUCAACCUCAAUACAAGUCAGGUUGGCUGAUGGAACCCGCUUGAUAUCACAUUUUAAUCAUCACCACGUGAUCAGUGACAUCCGUGCCUUCAUUGAUGCAUCUCGACCUGGUGGUCGGCAAAAUUAUCAACUUCAGAUGAUGGGUUUCCCCCCAAAGGUUCUAACCGAUGAAACUCAGAACAUAGAGCAGGCAGGACUUGCAAAUUCAGUUGUCAUACAGAAAUUCUAGCAGACUGCUGUUUCAUAUUGGCUCUUACCGGUUAAUUGCUGCAUUGAAAGGAUGCAGUUUUAUUGGGGGAUUGUAGAGGUGAGGUACUUUUAUUUCCAUAAAGUCAAAAACAUAUAGAACUGCCCUACUGUUGGGGGAACAUUUUCUUUUUGUUGCUCAAUGUUUACCAAGUAAUCUUAUUUGCUUUUUUUGUUUUGGACCUAAUUCUCUAUGCUAUGAUGAUUGUGGCGUGUCCUCUUUCUGGGCCUAGUGACUGAACUCGAGAUUAUAUUGAAAGACUUCACUGAAAUAUAUCGUAACCCCCGAAAGCAGUUUUUGAAAAUGUCGUAACGACUACCAUCUCUGUUUAUAUUAUAUUAUAUUUCUUCUGAAGCUAACAAACAGGUGUGGUUAUCUUACUAGAAAUUUGGAAAGAUUUUUAAAAUGUGGUUUUAAUUCUAAAUUGUGUAAACACUAAACCUAAAGGUGGAUGGAUAUAUAUAAUUGCACAAUAAUUUUUUUUUCAAUUGUUAAUAAUGUAUAUAAAUUUGUUAACGUUUUAAAAAUAACUUUGUUCCAAGUUUACCAACAAAAAUUUUAUAAAAAAUAUAAAAUUAUUUAAUCAUUACAUAUUCAUUGAAGUUUUUCUAUAUUUAUAUUAGUGCAUAUAAUUCAAUUUGAAUUAGAUUAUAUCAUAUUUAUAAAAUCAAAUUCAUAAAUCAAUUCAAUCAAACAAAGAAAAGUUCAAUUAUUUGUUCCAAGUUUACCAAUAAAAGAUUUAUAAAAAAUAUAAAAUUAUUUAAUCAUUACAUAUUCAUUGAAGUUUUUCUAUAUUUAUAUUAGUGCAUAUAAUUCAAUUUGAAUUAGAUUAUAUCAUAUUUAUAAAAUCAAAUUCAUAAAGAAAUGUUCAAUCAAUUACAUUAUAUUUAAAAAUGAUUUAUACUGUAAGAAAAAAUUCGUUACAGUACUCAUAAUUAAAAAGGUUUACAGUGAGUACUAACGAAUUAUAGUCUGAUUAAUAAUCAAUAGAUUAGAAAAUACAAAUAUAUUGAUGAUAUAAAAUGUUAUAUUUUUUCAUACAAAAAAUUACUUUUAAUUGACAUUUAAAACAGUUGUGAGCAAAAUAGAAUUACAUUUCUGCCUUGGGCUAUCUUAAAAGUCAGGGAUCAGAACUACUUGGCAGCAACGCAAAGACAAAGCUUUGUGUGUAUAACAUGCCUCAGUCUCAGUCUUCGUCUUAGAGCCACACCAUAUACUCCCAGAAACACACACACACACUCUCUCCCUUGCGAUUCGUUGUGUGAAAUAUUUGUAGGCAUGGCGUCACGGGACCACAAAAAGGCAUCGAGCAGCCGAACAGGCAGAAUUCGCACUCUCUCCGAUCUGAACCGUCCCUCUGCCGAUUCCGACAGCGACUCCGAUGGUCCUCAGGAGUACUACACCGGCGGGGAGAAGAGGUUCUCUUCUUUCCCGAUCCUUCUCCUCCUUUCUUCGUUCAUUAGCCUAACCCUCAAUUCUUGCAUUCUAUCACACCAACACAACAAAACUAAAAACUAUUAAUAAAGUUUUAUCGAUAUCACUAGCUUUAAUGUUAAGUCCCCAUCUUAGAAACUCUAGAAACUUCUUAAUAUCGCACUCUAUGUAUAAUAUAUUCCCUUACCGAUUAUUACUGUAAGAAUUAUUAGAGUUGACUUACAACAAGCUGGCGUAUUUCCAGUCAAUCAACUAGGUUAGAUUUUCGGAACAUUUUUUUAAUCGUGCAUGAUUGAAAUCAGAGUUGCAAUUUUUUCUGAUAUGUUUCGUUUUGUCUUCUGAAUUCUAAUGCGAUGGUUUGGCGAUGUUAUUGGUUGCCUUAGCUUGGUAUGAUUAUAGAUUGUGACUUUUUUUGUUUGUGUUGAUUGAUGAGUUUCUUCCCCGUUUCUCUUGUUUGGGUUAACUUCAUUGAUCGCAUACUGCUUUGAUAUUAAAGAGGAAGAUUUCUCUAACAGGAUUUAGUGAUUAGGUUUCAGCUCAGCACAUGUUUGUGUUACUUUUGAAAAUGCGGGUCAUUCUAAUUUAGGUUCCAUGUGUGUUUAGUUUGGUGUUUUGUAUUCUUGGAACCACGUUUGGGAUGUAAAAAAUGGAAUUUAUUCAAAGUAAUUUUCGUUUUGAAUAUGAAUCAUGGAUCCACUUUUGACUUAAUCCGAACCUGACGUGAAACCAUAAGUGCACUCAAUACAUAAGUAAUGAUAGGGGUUUUUAGGAAGUUAGAGGCCAGUGAAUGGUAAAAAACAGACAUGCAUUUAUUCUUUUGCCCUUUUACCAGUAUAAAGUGGUUUCAGAUUUUUGUAUAACUCAUUUGGGUGAAGCAUUUGGAAAACUUAUCUUAAGGCAUGAAUAAAAGCAAUAAAUCAUGCUUUUAGUGAGAGGUUUGUAACCUUUACAUUGAAGUUAUUUUGCUUAAAUUUGGGUUACUUUUUCUGGUAUAGGUUUUGGGCUUUUGAAAACCAUUCAGAUUCAUCUUAGCCAGUAAAAGAAUGGGGCAAGAAAAUGAAAAAAAAAAUCUGAUUUGUUUUAUCAUUUGGUGAUUUUUUUUUCCAAACAGGAAAUAUCUUUACUCUUCCCAGGUUUUAUGGCAAUGCUUCUGCAUUUUGAUAGCCUUUGAAGUCUAUAAUGAUUUGUUUAAACUUUAUAUCAUAACUUCUAGUGUUUCCAUGUGAUGAUUGCUAUCAAAUUAUAUAGCUUAGUAGCUUGAAAAUAUAGAUAGGGAUAGCUAUAUUUUUAGUAAUAUUGUUUUAUAGUAUGUAUUUUAUAUAUAUAUAUAUAUAUAUAUAUAUAUAUAUAUAUUCGCAUUUAAGCUGUGUUUGAAUGGAUAAUCAACCCAUUUUUAGAGUUUUUAAGGUAAUGAAGUGGAAUGGUUUAGGAUGGGAACCCAAACUACCUUACCACUCUUAACUUUCAAAUUUCCCUACUCUCUCAUUUAGAGGGUUUUGGAUGGAAUACUACUUUUUAUAUUUGGAGGCAGUUAUCCAUAAUUGUAAUUUACUCCACUCAAGUAAUUAUCACCUUUACUUCCAAACAAAGGUAAGGGGAUCCCCACCAUACCCUCAUUAAAAAAUUUCAAAUAGAGUGGUACCUUACAAAUAGAGUGCUUCAUCCUCUUCAAUAUUUCCAAACAUAGCUGUAAACUUAACUUCACCUGUAUGCUUCUAUAACCUCAAGCACCUUACAGACAGAAAUCACUUUUGACUACCUUCGUUGAAAGUGUGACAUUUGGAUAUUAAAAUUACCGCUUUCACAAUUUUCUGAAACAUUUAUUGAUGCACACAUCUGUCAUUUGAUUUUAUGAAAAAUUUCUACAAAGUAUUUAACCAUUCUGCAUUAUAUCUCCAGUGGAAUGCUUGUCCAGGAUCCUUCAAAGGGAAAUGACGUGGAUGCAAUUUUCAAUCAAGCUAGGCAACUGGGCGCUGUUGAAAGGCCUCUUGAUCAGCUUCAGGAGCCCCCAAGGUCAACUAGCUUUGCUGGAACUGGCAGGUUACUCUCAGGGGAAACUGCUGCACAGUCUACUACUAAUCAGCAACCCGAGUCUGUUGUUCACAACAUUGUUUUCUGGAGUAAUGGUUUCACUGUAAAUGAUGGACCUUUGAGGAGAUUGGAAGACCCUGAAAAUGCCUCAUUUUUAGAGGUGAUGGUAUUUAGGAUUCUGAUUCCUUCAUGGGUUGAGGGUAAAAUGAUUUGGAAGUAAUGAGGUUGUGUUCCAGAAAAUGCAAAUUCUGAUGUUAGAGGAUUUAGAUUUUGGUGGAUAAUGUUCAGGAAAUAAUGAAACACCGUAACAAAUUUCUCAUACAAUUCACCUUUUUAUUUUCAUUUUCAGAAAUCAAGCAUAUUUUAAGUAUUCUAUCAGUUGCUUUCAUAAUUUAAUGGCCAUGUAAGAAUGCUACCGCAGAGACAUGUUUGGGUUACUAUUACUUUCUUACUGGUUACAUAAAAUGGUUUCUUUGUGCUUAAUGAUAUUUGCUAUUUUCAAUGCAGAGCAUAAAAAAAUCUGAGUGUCCCAAAGAGCUUGAACCUGCAGAUAGGAGGUCAUCUGUUAAUGUUAACCUCAUAAGGAGGAACGAGAACUAUCCUGUAAGUUUCCUGUUAGUUUUUGUCCAAUUUACUAUUAAACCACAAUGAAUUUACUCUUGGAGCUUUUGAACUUCUGCAUUUUGAAAAGCAAUGCAAUCUUGUUGUACAUAAUUACUGGCUUCUGAAAUCGAACAUGCCCAUUGUGUAAAUUAUAAGUAACUUGGUUAUGCUUACAGGAACCCGUAAAGCAGUCUGUUCCCUUUCAGGGAGUGGGAAGAACUCUUGGAAGCAGCUCUACAUCAGUGGCUCCUGACCCAACUGCUGCCUUAACACCUCCAACCACAGCGCCAACUCCUUCUGCAGGCCUGGUUGUUGAUCAAUCACUGCCAUCAACCUCAAUACAAGUCAGGCUGGCUGAUGGAACCCGCUUGAUAUCACAUUUUAAUCUUCACCACGUGAUCAGUGACAUUCGUGCCUUCAUUGAUGCAUCUCGACCUGGUGGUCGGCAGAAUUAUCAACUUCAGAUGAUGGGUUUCCCUCCAAAGGUUCUAACUGAUGAAACUAAGACCAUAGAACAGGCUGGACUGGCAAAUUCAGUUGUCAUACAGAAAUUCUAGCAGACUGCUUUUUCAUGGUAUUAGUCU
rnacentral:lncRNA from 1 species